rnacentral:lncRNA from 1 species
AAAAUUUACACACUGAGAAUUACAAAAAAGCACACUGAGAUUUAAAAACUUCAAUACGCACACUGAGAAUUGAAAAUUACACACUGAGAAUUGAAAAUUACACACUGAGAAUUAAAAAUUACACACUGAGAUUUCAUAAAGACACACUGAGAUUACAAAAAUGAAAAAUGCACACUGAGAAUUGAAUAUUAAACACUGAGAAUUGAAAAUUACACACUGAGAUUUCAAAAAGACACACUGAGAAUAAAUAAACUGAAAACACAC